UCAAGUUACACUCUGAAAUUUAAUACAAUUAACUUUUCAGAUCGUGUCAUUGAGAAAACCGUUCCAAGAUACUCGAAGCAACUACGCUUGAAGUAAAUUAUCUUUUGUGGGUAUCGAACAUCUAUUUACACUUCAGUCGAUGAAAAAUUUGGAGUUCGCUGCAGGCAGGUGCAUGAAGAAUUUAUCUCAGUUUGGCUGGAUGUGGAAUAAUUUGACCUAAAUAAGGUAUGAUCACCAAAGAGAUGUUAAUCUUCACUUAACUGAAUACAUGGGUUCAGGUAGGCCAUUACUUCUAGCCGCUUCGAAGAAACCUAUACCGGAGUUAAUCUUCAACUACGAAUAGAUAUGACUGAUACUACUGCCAGGUAUAAUCAUCAUUUUACAACAAAUCGCUCGACUACAAGCCUUCACUACCGCGAAAACUAGUGUCAUUGACAUUCGAGAAAUAAGGCUAACGUCUUAAAAAAAAGUAAUUUUUCCUCUAUUCUUUAGCUUUGGGGGCAAAGUUGGUCACGAUCUUUUCAAAUAUGAAAUUUAUAUCGUUUGGCUCAAUCCACUUGAUGAAAAAUUAGGUAAUUGUGCUCCGGAUUCCAUACAUUGUCACUGUUUGUAAACGACAUAACACUCAUUAAAAUUUGUUUACAAGAUUUUAGACUUGCUUGCGGUAAUCGAAUUUAUUCAGGCCACGUUUGAAGUAAGAAGCGAACACAUGAGAAA